rnacentral:lncRNA from 1 species
UUUAUACAUCGCUACUGAACUUAGUUAACCACAUUCAAGUCCAUUGGCAUAUUUAAAUCAUCUCUAUCUUAUUCGCAGAAUCGUUAGCCCGUCGGAAAAAAUGUUUUGUACCAUUUCGUCUGGCACUUUAUGUUCUGAGUUCAAAUCCGGCUGAGCUCAAGUUUGCCUUUCAUCCUUUCGAGAUCGUUGAAUAAAGUACAAGUUGAUGUAAGUGACUAAUCUCUUAACUAAAAUUUCUGACAAAGAAAAUUGAAUGAAUUAUUAUUAUUAUUAUUAUUAUUAUUAUUAUUAUUAUUAUUAUUAUUAUUAUUAUUAUUAUUAUUAUUAUUAUUAUCCGAUUGAUUUGCAUUUCAUUUCAUAUUCCGACCGGGUCUCAACCAGAGACCUAAGGCACGUAUAUAUUGGCUGGAGAGGUACUUCCUGAGAAUGUGGGCGGUUGAUGUCAACACAAUCUUUUCAGUCUCAUAGAUUGUUGUUUUCCCAGAGAUAUGGUAAAAAAAAAUUUGUCAGUAACUUUCUUUGAUCAUUCCUAGUGCACCUGCAACAACAGGGAUGGUUUUGGUCUUAAAUUGCCACGUCUUAGAUAUCUCAAUUUCAAGAUCCUCAUAUUUCGACAGUUUUUCAAAUUUCUCUGCUGAGAUGUUGCAAUCAGAAACACUGUCAUAUCAAUUAACAGGCAUAUUUCUUUGUGUUAAGUCUUUGGUGAUGAUGUCUGGUUGUUAGUAUUUAUUUGCCUAUCUGAAUGUAUCCCAUAAUCCCAUAGGAUUGGUCACAUUUUCUCUUUCAGUGACUGGCUCUGGAUGGUGUUCUUAGGGUGUGGGAUAUCAUAGUAACGGCAUAUGCUCCAGUGCAAGUAUUGACCAAUUCGAUCAUGUCUGAUUUUAUAUUCUGUAGGGGCAAGGACUGAGCAACCGGCAACAAUAUGGUCAAUACUCCCAAGUUUCUCGUUGCAGAGUCUACACUUUGUGUCUACGUCAUUAUUAUUAUUAUCAUUUUUUUUCCUUCUUUCAAAUUUGCUUCCAUUUCUUGCCGAGUGUCUUCCCGACUCCUAGGGCAAAGAAACUCAUAGUAUACAUUGGUAGGCCAUUAAACCAAACUCAAUAGUUCGUUAAUUUUUUUUUUUUUUAAGUUAAAUUAAAAUACAUGAGCAGCAACAGUUCUCACAUCGACAAUGCUCUUCUCAAUACGUGUGAUGUACCAGUUAAGACAAUCUUUUGCACUUCUUGCAGGGAUGGUAAGCCAGGGAUCAUUCUCAUAUAAUUUUCGGUUCCCUUCUUGAUCAUUCCUAGUGCUCCUACGAUCACUGGUAUUGUAACCGCCUUGAGAUGCCACAUUUUCUCAAUUUCAAUGAGUAGGUCUUUAUAUUUUCUGAGCUUGUCAAACUCUUUCGCUGAGAUAUUAUGAUCACAGGGGAUGCUCAUGUCGAUCAAUAAGAAAACUUUAUUGUUUUGGUCUUUCACAACAAUAUCUGGUUUAUUGGCCUUGAUGGUUCGGUCUGUAUGUACUGGAAAGUCCCACAGAAUGGUUACAUUUUCUCCUUCAGUUACAGCCUCAGGGUGGUGAUUAUACCACUUGUCGGCAGUUUUGAUAUUGUAAUGCCGACUUAUUAGCCAGUGUAGAUAUUGGCCAACUCUGUCAUGUCUUAAUUUAUACUCCACUGGUGCUAAGACUUUACAUCCAGAGAUUAGAUGGUCCACUGUUUCAAUCAUGUCGUUGCAGAAUCGGCAUUUUGGGUCUGCUCCAUUUUUCAUCACAUUGGCCUGGUAGUUCCGGGUUAAUAGGCUUUGAUCUUGAGCAGCCAGGAUGAAACCUUCGCUCUCUGCUUUUAGCCCUGAGCUCCGUAGCCACUGAUGGGUUUGCUUCUGGUCAACAUCAGCUUGUUUGCUGCGGGUCACAUAUUUGCCGUGCAGAGGUUUCUCCUCCCACCUAUCAGCCAAUUGCUCGUGCGCUUUUUUCGUUGCCAUCAUUUUCGCCUUCUUUGCAACAAUAGUUGCCGUACUUCCCUCGGGUUGUUCAGUUUGGGUAUCCUGCAUGAGAUCAAUAGCAAAUUUUUUGCUUUCCUUUAUGAUAGAAUGAAGCUUCUUUCGUCUCUCGUGAUUUUCCACGAGCUUUAGCAUCCAGUCAUUCGAUAUUUCGAGAUAUUUGGCCAGUCCAAUUGUGGUUGUUUUGUAAGCUAGUUCAAAUUGGAUCAGGCCUCGACAUCCUUGGGCUCUGGGAAGGUAAAGGCGAUCUACGUCUGCCUUUGGGUGGUGCAUCCUAUUACAACUCAGCAGCUAGCGUAUUUUCCUAUCUAUAUUCUUUACUUCACUCAUAUUCCAGUUCAACACAUUGUAGCUAUAAGUAACAACUGGAACUGCUAAGGAAUUUAUAGCUAACACCUUGUUACGUGCAUUUAGUUCAGAUUUCAGGACUGCACGAACUCUCCUAUAACAUUCCUUCCUGAUCUUCUCUUUCAUGCUUGCAUGCUGAAUACCAGAGCCUUCAUUUAUCCCUAAAUAUUUAUUAUUAUUAUUAUUAUUAUUAUUAUUAUUAUUAUUAUUAUUAUUAUUAUUAUUAUUAUCAUUAUUAUUAUUAUCAUUAUUAUUAUUACCCGGCAAAAUGCUUUGGGGUAUUUCGUCUGCCGUUACGCUCUGAGUUCAAAUUCCGCCGUGGUCGACUUCGCCUUUCAUCCUUUCGGGGUCGAUAAAUUAAGUACCAGUCAAGUACUGGGGUCGAUGUAAUCGACUAUCUCCUCCUCCAAAACUGCUUCCCUUGAGUCAAAAUUUGAAGCCAUUAUUAUUAUUAAGGAUAAGUUGAAACAAUCGCUAAAAUCCCUACAGCUUAAUUUAACAUCUUGGUUAGAACGAUCUGAGAGGCGUAAAUUGUGUCAUGAUGCAUCUAAACAGUUUGAGUUGAAGAAGCAAAACAAUAAAAGAAUUAUAUCCUGCAGUCAACAGACACGUAUGUCUAAUCCCAGGCAAAAUCAAAAUCAUUAUUAUCCCCAUUGUGACUUCAUAGUAAAAUCCACACCUAGACUCAAAAUUACAUUUACUCAUCCGUCGCAAAUAGUUGCAGCUUCGGUUACUUUAAUAAUUCUUUUUCUUUUUAAACCCUUUCCUUCAAACACUCAUACGUCGAAAUCGACGGGAGUGACCAUCGUUAGGGAGGUGAACCGCCAGAAUCGUUACCUUGCCGGACAAAAUGCCUAGCAGCAUUUCUUCCGGUUUUACGUUGUGAGUUCAGGUGCCGCAGCGGUUGACUUUGUUUCAUCUUUUCGGGAUCGAUAAAACAAGUACCAGUUGAGUUCUGAUGAAAACAAGCUCUUACACUAAAUGCAGAAUGUGCAACCAGCACAGUGAGACAGUUGACCACAUCAUCUCUGGCUGUCCAGUUCUAGUCAGAUUUGAAUAUAUAUACAGACAUGACCGAGUAAGCACUCAUAUCCACUGGACAAUAUGCCAAGACUGCAACAUGAAAACUUACAAAAAAUGAUAAAAACACGUGCCAAAAAACAUGUACAUGACAAUACCCAAGCCACAAUCAUCUGAGAUAUACCUCUUCUAACUGACAAAUCAAAGCUAAUUGUCCAGGCAUAAUAAUCAAGCAUUCGAAAAAUACCUGCAUACAGAUGGACAUUUCAUGCCUUUCUGACCAAAAUACAUUGCCCAAAAGAGGUGGAGAGAUUUUCAAAGUACAAAGAUCUCAAAAUUGAAGCAUUUAAUGAGAAUUUAAUGAGAAUGAAUGCGAAAACAAUACUAGCAAUAGCUGGAGCAUUGGGUAUGAUAAAAAAAAAACGUAAGAAUGAAAACGUAGAAGCUAUAUCAGAACCCUCAACACUACUCAAUACCCCAAAAAUAGCCCUGCUAGAAACAGCCCACACCUUAUGCAAGACACUAUCAAUUCAAUUGGACAACCCAAGUAUAACAAUCUACAAACACAAGGUACACUCUACAUGGCAAAUAUCUCAAAAGAUGCACAACUCUCGCAACAUUUACUCUGCAGGUCGGAUACCCAACAGAAGAACAUAACUCGCAUUACACACACAAUACACAAUACAAACACUAAUACAACAAAACAUUGCAAACGAGCUCCAUGGCAAUACAACACCGAGAAGAGUUUGUACGCCCCCAACAACAAAAAUUUUAAAAUGAAACAAGAAUACAAUACUGAACUCACCUCAGUAACGCGGAGGUGUAUGCAGUAGAAAUUUGCCUGAAACUAUCACGUCUCAAAUAAUAAUAAUGAUAAUAAUAAUAAUAAUAAUAAUAAUAAUAAUAAUAAUAAUAAUAAUAAUAAUAAUAAUAAUAAUAAUAAUAAUAAACUAAAAAUAGAACAGCAACGAACCAUGAUAAAACGAUGGCAAGAAAAGCCCCUUCAUGGUAAAUAUUGGACUAAACUAAACGCAAAAGAAAUAGACAAAGAAAAAUCCCAGCAAUGGUUGAGAAGCUCAGGACUCAAAGCAGAGACAGAAGGAUUUUUAAUUGCAGCACAAGACCAAAGCCUCCCCACCAGAAAUUACCAAAAACAUGUAAUGAAAAUAAAUAUAACAAGUAACUGCAGAAUAUGUGGAGAUGGACAAGAAACAAUAAAUCAUAUUAUCUCUGGCUGCCCAGUCCUGGCUAAGAAGGAAUAUAUUCACAGACAUGACAGAGUUGGAACCUACAUACACUGGAAGCUAUGCCAACAUUAUGGAAUAACAACAUAAAAAAGAUGGUAUAGACACACACCAGAAAAGGUCACAGAAAACGAAAAAGCAACCAUACUCUGGGAUAUGCCGAUACACACAGAUAGAGAAAUUAAGCCAACAGACCAGAUAUAGUUGUCAGAGAUCAUGAAGAAAAAAAAUGCUUUCUAAUUGAUGUAUCACUACCGGCAGAUGACAACGUUUCUCUAAAAGAAAUGGAGAAACUUUCAAAAUACAAAGACCUGGAAAUAGAGGUAAUCAGAAUGUGGAAUCUAAAAACAGAAACAAUUCCUAUCAUAGUAGGUGCAUUAGGCAUGAUAAAAAAAUAUUCAGACAAAUACAUAACAAAAACACCAGGACUUACAAACACAUAUAACAUACAGAAAAUUGCACUACUAGGCACUGCACACAUCCUACGCAGAACACUUUCCAUACAAUAACCAUCAGAGCAUCACAACAAAUCACAGCACAUACCCAAGGUACACAGAGCUGCGCUCGGUAGUGAAGUGAAAGCACGCUAUAAAAAUAAAACUACUGAAUAAUAAUAAUAAUAAUAAUAAUAAUAAUAAUAAUAAUAAUAAUAAUAAUAAUAAUAAUAAUAAUAAUAAUAAUAAUAAUAAUUAAAACAAUAAUAAUAAUAAUGAUAAUAAUAAUAAUAAUAAUAAUAAUAAUAAUAAUAAUAAUAAUAAUAAUAAUAAUAAUAAUAAUAAUAAUAAUAAUAAUAAUAAUAAUAAUAAUAAUAAUAAUAAUAAUAAUAAUAAUAAUGAUGAUGAUGAUGAUGAUAAUGUUAUGUACAUUGUUUUGUCUUGGUACAAAAGAUAGGCUGCAGCGAUUAUUCUGCUCAAUAUCACAGAUGUGCAUGUCGGUUGUUUGACCUUAAUCAAUUUAGCAUGUCUCUUAGUGGCUGACAAUAUAUGCACCUCUGAUCACGAGCAGAAGUAAUGGGGGAGCAUUAUAACCAUGUGUUGAGAGGAAUUCUUUGGGGCUUGAAUAAUUCAUCUCUGGAAACAUGGGUGAUUUGUUCAUCCUUAAACAAACCUUAUCAGGGAGAUUUUGAGCAGGAUAGUCUACUUGACCUGAAGAAAAUUAUAACUGGACUCUCACCUGCAAGGUCAUGCGUUGUUUAUGUUGAUAUGAGAUCACCAUGUUGUGCACAUAUGCUUGUGAUGCAUGUGCCAAAUGUACCCUUAUCACACUGGUAGUCAUGACGGGUAUAUUGAUCUUCGUAUAUUUGUACCCCAGUGUCACUUUGAUGGGAUGCGCUGCUGUCUCACUCAGUAAUAAUAAUAAUAAUAAUAAUAAUAAUAAUAAUAAUAAUAAUAAUAAUAAUAAUAAUAAUAAUAAUAAUAAUAAUAGAUUCUUUUUAUUGGCUACAAGGGCUGACACACAUGAUUAGAAAACAUAAAGGGACAAAACAGGACGAAAGGUUACAAAGGGUUUUGUCCGUUUGUGAAAAAAUCGUGUAAAAACAGUGUAACAAUCAAAUAAUAUAACAACGAAAAACUCCCAAUAGGGGGAGGCGUUACGAAAGGUUCCUGGUGGAAAAACCCAUAAAAGCCAACGGGAGCCUGGUCAAAAGUGGGGUAGAGAUUCCCUUUCUCCUUUUAUAAUACCUUUUUCAAUUACAGGUGAAACCUCAGAAUUGGUUCAUUUAUACUGGCCAUUCUUGCACAAUUCACCCACCUUUCAGAAAACUUGCUAUCAGACAGCACUCUCCUCUCUAACCUCAUCUUCCUUUUCAAAUGAAACUUGAAAAAGUUGAUGUGGCCUUGACCAAAGAGGAAAGUGUCUGACUUUAGCCCUUUCAAACGGGUCCACCAUACAACCUCUUUCGCCACAGCCACUAGGCACAGGAAAACGGCCUUGCACUCCUUGUUAAAGGAGGUCGGCGGGGCAGUCUUCACUAUGGAUUCAGCUGAUAGCCGUGUCCGUCCUAUACGUGACAGUAGCUGUUCGACAUAAACCCAUAGUUCAGCAAUACUCGGGCACUGGAAAAUGCCCUGAUACAGUACCAGGCAGUGGUUCUCGUGGCUGCUGAUCUUAACUGAUUGGAAGUGUUAUCAUGUACAUUGUUUUGUCUUGGUAUAAAAGACGGGCUACAGCAAAUAUUCUGCUCAAUACCACAGAUUUGCUUGUCAGUUGUUUGACCUUAACCAGUUGAACAUGUCCCUUAGUGGCUGACGAUAUGUGCAUCUCUGAUCACGAGCAGAAGUAGUUGGGGAGCAUCAUAGCCAUGUGUUGAGAGGGAUUCUUUGGGGUUUCACCUCUGGAAACAUUGGUGUUUCGUUCAACAACCUUAAACAACUCUUAUUCAGGGACCUUUUGAGUGGGAUGGGUUAAUCGACCAGAAGAAAAUUCUAACUGGGCCCCACCUGCAAGGUCAUGUGCUGUUUAUCUUGAUAUGAGAUCACCAUGUUGCGCACAUAUGGUUGUGAUGCAUGUGCCAAAUGUACCCUUAUCACACUGGUAGUCAUGACGGGUAUAUUGAUCUUCGUAUAUAUUUGUACCCCAGUGUCACUUUGAUGGGAUGCGCUGCUGUCUCACUCAGUAAUAAUAAUAAUAAUAAUAAUAAUAAUAAUAAUAAUAAUAAUAAUAAUAAUAAUAAUAAUAAUAAUAAUGAUAAUAAUAAUAAUAAUAAUAAUAAUAAUAAUAAUAAUAAUAAUAAUAAUAAUAAUAAUAAUAAUAAUAAUAAUAAUAAUAAUAAUAAUAAUAAUAAUAAUAACAACAACAACAACAACAAUAUAACGAAUAAUAAUAAUAUGACGAUUUGAAGAGGAAAAAAACUGAACAACUAUGACAAUUUCAAGUGAGAAAUACGAAGUUUGCGGUCAAUGAAGAGAGUUGACGUGGUACCAACAGGAAAUGGCGCACCAGGAAGUAUCAGCACUCAACUACCAUUAUGCCUCAAAAGGAUUGGUACAAAUGCAAAGGUAGGACACCUACAAAAAUCAGCAUUGCUUGGAACUGCAAGAAGUCUUCGCAGGGUUCUUGAAGCAUGAGUAGUAAACAAGUGUUACCUUAGUCUGCUGGCCGUGGACAGCUGACACUUUCCAUCAUACCCAAGAAAAUAAGCCGUGAGUUUGCAUCAAAUAAAAAUAAUCAUAAUAAUGAUGAUGAUGAUGAUGAUGGUUUCAAAUGUUGCCACAUGGGCAGCAAUUUGGGGGGAGGGGAUGAAUCGAUUACAUCGGUCCCAGUGUUCAACUGGUACUUAUUUUAUCGACCCCGAAAUGAUGAAAGGCAAAAUAGACAUCGGCGGAAUUUGAACUCAGACGGUGCAGACGGACAAAAUGCCGCUAAGCAUUUUGUCCGGCGUACUGUGGCAAAGAGGCAUAAUCAGCUAUACCGUCCUCAGUUCUUGAUUAGUACUACUGAAAAGAGAGAAGCUAAAGCCAUUAUCGGUAGGAAUUCAACUCAGUCAUUAAGAUAGGUAAUUAAAUAUCACAAAGCAUUUUGACUGCCGCUGCUCUACUGAUUCUGUCACCCAUCUCUGAUAAUGAUGAAUUUUUUCAUAAACACAAGGCCUUAAUCGGAGUAAAGGUUGAGAAGAGGAGAAAAUUGACUGUUAUACCGCCCACUGUUUGAUAGAUACUUAUUUCAUCGAUACUGAAAAGUAAAAGACAGAGGUGACUCAGUGACAAGUGAUUUAAACUCAGAACGUAAUGGUAGUAAGUAAAUAUCGCAGCACAUUUUCUCUGACACUCUACUGAUUCUGCUAUCCACUACCUUUCUAGUGCAAAUAACUAUAAAGAAAAAACAAAACAAAAUAUAUACAGAUUGCCCGACACGCAGGCUAAAAGUGGUUAAACACUCUCCGAAUUGAUGAGGGUUCAAGAGAAACAGUUCAGAGAUAUAUGGAAAAUCCUAAACUGUGAAUCUGAAUCUAGCUGACUUUCCUACAUGCCUGAGUUCUCAUGUGUAAAAUAAAUAUUAGCAGAACAAGUACGAGCAUUCAGAUUACAGGUGGUAUACUAUUACUAAACACUUAAGAUUAAUUUUGGAGCUGGCAUGAUAACGGUAUGUAAGCCUAUUGUAACUAGAGCCAUGUCUAUUUUUGAUACCUCACAACACAGCUAUUAUUAGAUUAUGAUAGACAGUUUGAAUCAACACAACUAUUAAUAGAUUAUGAUAUGCAGUUUCAGGAGCGUCUAUGUGGUCAUUUUGAUCGGCUAGAAAUAGUAACUAAAUCUUCCCCUUCCCCCAUCAUAUCUUACACAUUGUGUAAUGUAUUGAGUUGGCAACUAAGUUUCCCCUGUUUUUUUUAAAGUUUUGGAAUUUAUUGCGUUUUUAAAUUUUGGAAUCUAUUUUUUUCGAGAAUUCUAUUUUUGAAUCAUUUUGGAAUCAAUUUUGUUUUUUUUUCUAGUUAAUUUUAGUUAAUUUUUGUUUAUUUUCAGAUCAUUAAUUGGGUUCCGCAUGUUUUAAGUCACAACAACAAAAAUCAACGAGCCACAAUCUCCGUUGGUUUGCUUGCUCGUUACCACUCAACUCAUGGACACAGUAAACGAUUUCUUUACCGAAUCGUUACUGGCGAAGAAAAAAUGAUGCAUGCACAUCAAUAUGAAGCAGCAUAAGGAAUGGCUUAUCCCCAGUAUACAAGCGACACCGCAUGUGAAAUAAGAUCUUCAUCCGCGUAAAGCGAUGUUGUGCAUAUGGUGGGAGUGGGAAGGAAUUAUGCAUUAAGAAUUGCCCGAACAGAACCAAACGGUCAACGCGGAACUCUAUGUUCGACAAAUAGAACGACUCAACACGGCUAUUCAAGAGAAAAGACCUAAUCGUCAGCAUGGAGUUCUGCUGCUGCACGACAAUGCACGUUCUCAUAUCGCCAAUAGACCAAGGAAACCAUUCAAAUGCAUGACUGGAAAGUGCUGCCACACACGCCGUACUUUCUUGAUUUGGCACCAACAGAUUUCCUCUUUCGAUCUCUUUCAAAUACUAUGCGCGGAGUUUCGUUCAAUACUGAUGCAGAAUUGAAAGCUUGGUUGGAUCAAUUUUUCGAGUCGAAAUCGGGUGAUUUCUACCAACGAGGUAUUGAAAAUCUAAUUGAAUGUUCGGAAGAAGUUGUAAAUAACAAGGGUGAAUACAUUAUUGAUUAAUUAGUUGUUAUUUUUUUUGAUUAAACCUUUUUAAAAAUUUAACUUUUAAGAAAACAGCGGGAACUUAGUUGCCAACCCAAUACUUCGUGUACAUAACGCUUGAAGAAAUAUGAGGGUAUGUCUGGAAUAUUUUGAUCUUAGUGGAAGAACUUGCUAGAAAACUAAGGUUUGUUAGAUGUAUAACCCAGUAAAAUUAUU